rnacentral:rRNA from 1 species
AUGGUAGUGCUAGAAGAACAACACUAUUUGGGCCACACUCAUGAUCAUCCAACAGAUGUUGAAUUGCUCAAUUCUCCACUGGAGAACUACGACUAUAUGGAACUUUGCUUUGCUAAUAAGCAUGCCACUGGGAAGUAUGCAAUGGGCCCCAGUGCACCCCUAGGAAUGCCUAUUGUUGUGGAAGACAAGGAUAAAUCGAAUGUCAUGGAGGGGGGAGGAACAACAGAUAAGGUAUUGCAACAUCUUCUUGGGUCUAACUUUGUACUUCCUACUGCUAGUGCCACUCAGGACCCUUCUCCUACUUCAAAUAAGAAGAGAAAGAGGGCAUCUGGCUUGACUGAGGAGGACUCAAUGCAGUGUAGCAACAUGACUGAUGCUAUGCAUGAGAUUGCAAGUGCUAUCAACAACACUUGCCAUGCUGAAACAUACCCUGACUUGUACAACGCUGUCAUGAAUCUUCUUGUGUUUGAUCAAGAUGAGCGCUUGGCUGUUUUAGAUUAUCUCACAGAACAUAAGGCAAAGUCCUUAACUUUGUGA